UAGACGUGUCUUUCCUGGAUUUAUCACAGGAGAAGAUGGGAAAGCAGCAAGUAAAAACUGAAAGGCGUCACUAAAAGUGCUGUAAGACAUCGAAGCCUAGUGUACCACACAGAGGACAGAAGGAUAUGUGUAUCCACUUUUUUUCUUGCAGGGCUAGGCAUCAGUGGAAGCUUAUGAAGGACAUGGCAAUGGCCAGGAAACACUUCACUGUGGCACAGAAAAAAUGUGCUUCCAGGGAGUAUAAUAGGAAUGAUCAGGAAGGAUGUUAACAGUGGAAGGGUAAGUGUUUUAGAGAAUGAAGUGCAUUAUAAAGUAACAUUCAGCCGAGGCCAUUGGUGACUUGCUUGCAUUUUGUUUGUUACCAGAGAGCAAGAAAAUGGAAACAUGUUCUUCUACGAACUGUGGAACAAGGAGGGAUCUCAGAAGACGUGUAGUAACUUCUUUUAAUAACUACCUGUGUCACUUUGGGCAAGUUGCUUAUCCUCCUUAAACUUCAAUUCUCAAGUUUUCAAAAUAAUAAUAAUACCUCACAGAGUUUCUAUGCAGAAAAAAUAAGAUAACCUAUGUCAGUAUUUUUCCUGGAACAAAAUAAGAGUUCAUUAUAUGUUAGCCUAUAACAUUUAACACUAUGAUACUACUAGC
ensembl:lincRNA